AUACGAAGGGGGCUAGCGUUGUUCGGAAUUACUGGGCGUAAAGCGCGCGUAGGCGGAUUGGUCAGUUAGAGGUGAAAUCCCAGGGCUUAACCCUGGAACUGCCUUUAAAACUAGUAGUCUAGAGUUCGAGAGAGGCGAGUGGAAUUCCAAGUGUAGAGGUGAAAUUCGUAGAUAUUUGGAGGAACACCAGUGGCGAAGGCGGCUCACUGGCUCGAUACUGACGCUGAGGUGCGAAAGCGUGGGGAGCAAACAGGAUUAGAUACCCUAGUAGUCC
rnacentral:rRNA from 1 species